UAUUCCCUUAUCGCUUUUUGGGUUCAGUAUGUCAAGCACAUGUUUAUAAAAAUAUAUAUUUACUUGUUUUGAAUUCUCUGUCGUUUAUAUAAAGCUGUCAUCGAGAGAAGUGCAAAACAUUUCGAGUGCCAAAUAAUUGAAUUCAGUAUUGCGACUAAUCUGACGCAAAUGUUGGACUUUAUGAAGAGCGACCAGUGGAAGUUAAUUAAUACACAAGACUGGUUUUUGUUUUGUAUCUGUAAGAAUUGAGCAUUGCGCAUUUGGAUAACCCUGAGUGGGUUCGUAACCGGUUGCCAUUGCGGGAGCAGUUCCGAAAACAGUUUGCGGGUGUAUUUGCCAACCUAUUUGUACGACAAUUUCAAUUUAACUCGAAGUUGAACAGCUGUUGCAAGGUAAAUAAAGCACAUUUGUUGCACACAUGCGUA
rnacentral:sRNA from 1 species